rnacentral:rRNA from 1 species
UUGGAGGGCAAGUCUGGUGCCAGCAGCCGCGGUAAUUCCAGCUCCAAUAGCGUAUAUUAAAGUUGUUGCAGUUAAAAAGCUCGUAGUUGAAUUUCGGGGUUCUACCGUUGGUCGGGCAAUAGUCUGUACUGGCGUGUAGAAUUUCUACCUUCUGGGGAACUAUCAUGUUAUUUAUUUAGCGUGGUAGGAAACCAGGACCCUUACCUUGAAAAAAUUAGAGUGUUCAAAGCAGGCUUACGUCUGAAUACAUUAGCAUGGAAUAAUAAAAUAGGACGGUGGUCCUGUUUUG